rnacentral:rRNA from 1 species
UACGAAGGGGGCGAGCGUUGUUCGGAAUUACUGGGCGUAAAGGGCGCGCAGGCGGCUCAGACAGUCAGAUGUGAAAGCCCCGGGCUUAACCUGGGAACUGCAUUUGAUACUACUGAGCUUGAGUACGAGAGAGGAUAGUGGAAUUCCCAGUGUAGAGGUGAAAUUCGUAGAUAUUGGGAAGAACACCGGUGGCGAAGGCGGCUCUCUGGACCGAUACUGACGCUGAGGCGCGAAAGCGUGGGGAGCAAACAGG